UACAGAGGGUGCGAGCGUUGUCCGGAAUCACUGGGCGUAAAGGGCGCGUAGGUGGUGGCUUAAGCGUGCGGUGAAAGCUCGGGGCUCAACUCCGAGUCGGCCGUGCGAACUGGGCUCACUGGAGCAUAGUAGAGGCAGGUGGAAUUCGGGUGUAGCGGUGGAAUGCGUAGAGAUCCGGAAGAACACCGGUGGCGAAGGCGGCCUGCUGGGCUAUGGCUGACACUGAGGCGCGACAGCGUGGGGAGCAAACAGG
rnacentral:rRNA from 1 species